rnacentral:rRNA from 1 species
UACGUAGGGGGCAAGCGUUGUCCGGAUUUAUUGGGCGUAAAGAGCGUGUAGGCGGCCAGACAGGUCCGUUGUGAAAACUAGAGGCUUAACCUCUAGACGUCGAUGGAAACCGUCUGGCUAGAGUCCGGAAGAGGAGAAUGGAAUUCCUGGUGUAGCGGUGAAAUGCGCAGAUAUCAGGAAGAACACCCGUGGCUAAGGCGGUUCUCUAGUACGGUACUGACGCUGAGACGCGAAAGCGUGGGUAGCAAACAGG